rnacentral:rRNA from 1 species
UACGAAGGGGGCUAGCGUUGUUCGGAUUUACUGGGCGUAAAGCGCACGUAGGCGGAUCGAUUAAGUCGGGGGUGAAAUCCUGGAGCUCAACUCCAGAACUGCCUUCGAUACUGGCGAUCUUGAGUCCGGAAGAGGUGAGUGGAACUCCUAGUGUAGAGGUGGAAUUCGUAGAUAUUAGGAAGAACACCGGUGGCGAAGGCGACUCACUGGGUCUUUACUGACGCUGAUGCACGAAAGCUAGGGUAGCAAACGGG